GGGGGGGGGGGGGGGGGGGGCGGGCGCGGGCGGGGCGGGCGGGGGCGGCGGGUCGGGGGGCGCAGGGGUGCGGGGCGCGUGGGAGCCGGCCCUUAGGGUCGGCAUAGCUCCCCGAGAGGGGGUCUAAUACCGGAUAAUGUCUUCGGACCAAAGAGGUAUCGCCUUGGGAUGGGCCCGCGUUGGAUUAGCUAGUUGGUAGGGUAAAAGCCUACCAAGGCGACGAUCCAUAUCUGGUCUGAGAGGAUGAUCAGCCACACUGGGACUGAGACACGGCCCAGACUCCUACGGGAGGCAGCAGUGGGGAAUAUUGGACAAUGGGCGAAAGCCUGAUCCAGCAAUGCCGCGUGAGUGAUGAAGGCCUUAGGGUUGUAAAGCUCUUUUACCCGGGAUGAUAAUGACAGUACCGGGAGAAUAAGCUCCGGCUAACUCCGUG
rnacentral:rRNA from 1 species